rnacentral:lncRNA from 1 species
CCGGGGUCCCCGUAUCAUCAAUAAGGUGCUCCUGCAAUAAAGGCUGAUUGAGAAGGAUCCAAUGGUGUUGCGUCUUCCUUGCCGGUCGAGGUGGGCACGACAACUGGUGGCCCGUACGGACACCCGAGAAAAUCUUUUCUCAUCUGGAUCCAGAACUUUUUCAGCCUCAGGACGGUCGACGUUGAAUCAAGACAAUCCAAUCUGGGUGCCUGAACGUUUGACUCGCAAACUGCCUCCUGCUAUUCCUGAAGACGAGACUACGAACCCUACUAUUACUACUGGGAAUGAGCAAAGAAAUCUCUAACUAUUUGAAAGGAAACUGGUCCAUGGGAGCGGAACAAUUAUCGAGACAAUUGCUGAUGCAGAUUGCUGUCCUUAAGAACACCAGAAUGGAACCCAUCUCGAUUGGGGAUUUCACCUCGUGGAUCACCAAUGCUUUCUCAUUUUUCAAAGAAUGGGCUGGCAUGUUUGCCUGGGGGGCCAUUGUCCUUUUGGGAUGUGGAGUAUGUCUAUGGCUUUUUUGCCGUUUACAACGAGAGCAUGCUAGACACAAAGCGAUUGUUUACCAGGCUAUGGCGGCCAUUGAGAACGGUGCUUCUCCCAGUGUGUGGCUGCCCUCUCUGAAAGAUUGAGAGUUCGCCCUAGAUCAUAUUUUGUCACUGUCAUGUGAAGUCAUUGUAUCCAGAGACGGGCAACUUUCCUCAGGCUCAGACCAACCUAAGCCAGGAGCCCGGUGGCGAUAGGGUUAACUUCCAGUGACGGGUAAGGCCGAGUUUUUGAGAGGAACGACCUAAGACAGGAGCAAUGACGUAUAUUGACGUGACACCCAGAUCUAGACCAGUCAUGGACAGAGGUGGCCCCGCCCUGUUUGUACAUUCGGGCCGGUCCCAUGCCCCUCUGCUCUGUCUCUCCCCUAUUAUUAGCACACCAAUAGCCCAGAACGGUGUGUUGUACAUUUCAGUCAUCUCUAGCCAUUGGGGUGCAGUCCAAACUACAAGAGUGGCUCGUCAUGGCUGAGCUGGGCACUCUGUGAGGCAUGUCUGAUCUCUCUCAGACCACUACCUCCACCUAAUGGACUUAUCUUUUAAUAAAACAAAAAAGAGGGAGAUAUUGGGAGCAAUUAUUUAUAGCACUGACAUCUAGUGGUCGCUUGUAUUAUUACCACCCUUAGCUUUCUUCUGACAUCUUUACUAGGUCCUAGUUGAUAAGCAUGUUAAUAAGAUGUCUUUACUCCACCAAUCCCCAGAGGACAAGUUCUUAGCCAUGCUGUCUGUUUUGUACUUAAGGCAAGUGCCUUUGUUCCCCGGGGUCCCCGUAUCAUCAAUAAGGUGUUCCUGCAAUAAAGGCUGAUUGAGAAGGAUCCAA